ACCUAGUUUACGUAACUAAACAAUUAAAAAGAAUGAAAAAUAAUUCGAAAUGCAAGUCUUCUAUAAAAAAAUCCUCAACAAAACAGCCCAAAUGGACGACAUAAGAAAACUAUUUUGUGGUCCUAACAUUGAUAGCACUUUCCUGGCACAUAGCAAUACGUGUUUCGAGAAGAAAUGUAAUGGUUCCUGCACAUUUGUGUUCGAGGCUUAAUAUUGCAACAUGAAAUUAUAACCUAGUUUACGUAACUAAACAAUUAAAAAGAAUGAAAAGUAAUUCGAAAUGCAAGUCUUCUAUAAAAAAAUCCUCAACAAAACAGCCCAAAUGGACGACAUAAGAAAACUAUUUUGUGGUCCUAACAUUGAUAGCACUUUCAAUCAGAUCGAGCGUUGUAGUGACAUUAUGAAUAUUGCCGGGAUGAUCUGCAUGCGGAAGUCCUUGAACAACGUUCAUGAUGCGUAACAUUUUAUCUUUAACAUUUUUU